AGUUUGAUCCUGGCUCAGGACGAACGCUGGCGGCGUGCUUAACACAUGCAAGUCGAACGGUAAGGCUCUUCGGAGUACACGAGUGGCGAACGGGUGCGUAACACGUGACCAACCUACCCUUAACACUGGGAUAACAUUUGGAAACAGAUGCUAAUACCGGAUAUGACCUUGUGGGGCAUCCCACGAGGUGGAAAGCUCCGACGGUUAAGGAUGGGGUCGCGGCCUAUCAGCUUGUUGGUGAGGUAACGGCUCACCAAGGCGACGACGGGUAGCCGGCCUGAGAGGGCGACCGGCCACACUGGGACUGAGAUACGGCCCAGACUCCUACGGGAGGCGGCAGUGGGGAAUAUUGCACAAUGGGCGCAAGCCUGAUGCAGCAACGCCGCGUGCGGGAUGACGGCCUUCGGGUUGUAAACCGCUUUCAGCAGGGACGAAGCUAACGUGACGGUACCUGCAGAAGAAGCAUCGGCCAACUACGUGCCAGCAGCCGCGGUGAUACGUAGGAUGCGAGCGUUGUCCGGAAUUAUUGGGCGUAAAGAGCUUGUAGGCGGUUUGUUGCGUCGAAAGUGAAAACUCAGGGCUUAACCCUGAGCCUGCUUUCGAUACGGGCAGACUGGAGGAAGGUAGGGGAGAAUGGAAUUCCUGGUGGAGCGGUGGAAUGCGCAGAUAUCAGGAGGAACACCGAUGGCGAAGGCAGUUCUCUGGACCUUUCCUGACGCUGAGAAGCGAAAGCGUGGGGAGCAAACAGGCUUAGAUACCCUGGUAGUCCACGCUGUAAACGGUGGGUACUAGGUGUGGGGACCAUUCCACGGUCUCUGUGCCGCAGCUAACGCAUUAAGUACCCCGCCUGGGGAGUACGGCCGCAAGGCUAAAACUCAAAGGAAUUGACGGAAGGGCGAAUUCUGC
rnacentral:rRNA from 1 species